GAUGAACGCUGGCGGCGUGCUUAACACAUGCAAGUCGAACGGAAAGGCCGAAGCUUGCUUCGGUACUCGAGUGGCGAACGGGUGAGUAACACGUGGGUGAUCUGCCCUGUACUUCGGGAUAAGCUUGGGAAACUGGGUCUAAUACCGGAUAUGACAAUCUCUUGGAUGGGGUUGUGGAAAGCUUUUGCGGUAUGGGAUGAGCUCGCGGCCUAUCAGCUUGUUGGUGGGGUAAUGGCCUACCAAGGCGUCGACGGGUAGCCGGCCUGAGAGGGUGUACGGCCACAUUGGGACUGAGAUACGGCCCAGACUCCUACGGGAGGCAGCAGUGGGGAAUAUUGCACAAUGGGCGCAAGCCUGAUGCAGCGACGCCGCGUGGGGGAUGACGGCCUUCGGGUUGUAAACUCCUUUCGAAACCGACGAAGCUUUUGUGACGGUAGGUUGAGAAGAAGCACCGGCUAACUACGUG
rnacentral:rRNA from 1 species